UCAACGAACAGCUUAUCAGUGUAUCUGAUGAAAAGUGAAUACGUGGUGAAUACAUACAGGAUUUUUCUCUUCCAAGCAGGCUUCAUAUGAACAAGUAGACAACUCUUCAAGCCAUGCUGAGGCGAAGCAGAGUUCUCUAUUUCAGUGAGUACAUCCUUUCAGCACAAAGGUAUGCUUCGGUAUGAUGCAUUGACUACAUGAGCAGCAAAUAAAUGACUCGGUUACCGCGAAAUUCGUACAGUAACGUGAAAGAGAAGGUGUAAUUCAAGAAAACCAAAUGACCAAUUAUGAAUAUGGUCCAUAGAACCAUCACCUAACUAUGACAAAACAUUCAACAGUAAAUAUUAUAACUGUAUCACCCUGUACUAUAAAUACUGACAUGGCAAUAAAUAUGGUCGAUAUUCUGUUAUUUAAGAUUUGCAGUAAAUAUUUUACAUUCAAUAAAAUGAAAACACAACCUUGUGUUAUUUAUCACAGUCGUUUUAAUAUAUGAAGCCACGUUUAAUUUUUUAGCAACAUACACAAUACAUGUGCAUAAAUGAUUUGUUUUAAGGAUGCGAUAAGAAAAUGCAUUAAUGAAUUGCACUGUCAGUGAUAGAUAGUUAAUGCAUGAAGUGGUUAUCUGAAUGUAAGCAAACAGCUCUAUGAUUGUUUUACGCAUCAAAUAUUUACACAACGUUUGCACGUUUACACAGUGUCACUACUUGAUGUGCGUUUCUUCUGGGUUUCUUCCUUUCUUUCAUUCAUCUUUAUUUUGUCACAUUUUCAGCAUUUCUCAUUCAUGCAGUCGCAGCAUGCGAGUGGGGCAAAUAUGGGGAUAAUUGUGACAAACGCUGCUCCAAAAACUGCCAAGUUAACCUACAGAGGAACCUCACACACUGUAACAAGGAAACUGGAGAGUGCUCCGAUGGCUGCAUCACUGGGUGAUAUGCUGCUCAAUGUGACCAACACUGCGGCAAGAACUGUCUGGACAACGUCUGCAAUCAUGGGAAUGGACACUGCACAAGGGGAUGCAUUGGAAACCAAAUAGGGGAUUUCUACAUCAAGGUCAAAACAGAUGAAACAACAGGACAGUCAACGGCACACGUCGCAGUGAUCAUCACUAUCUCCCUUGUGGCAAUUAGAGUUAUCAUCGCCGUAACUGUCGUCAUAACACGUCGACGCCAGGGAGACAACAGAAGAAAGUCAACCCGGAGGCCAAAAGCUGGUACUGACCCUGAAAAUGCUGAAGGCGUGCCUUUACUGCCAAGAUAUAAUGUGCUUUCCCACAUCAAUAAUCAAAGGAAAGAUGCGUAUGCAGGUGUCAUGGAGAGAGGUAUGCUGGAGUGGGAGAUUCAGAAGACAGAAGAAUUAUUUGAAGAGACUGCUAUCUACCAUAAAGUCAAGGGACGUUUAGAGAACUUUAGACAUGUGACAAUAUCUGGUGCUUCAGGGGACGGAAAGACGUCAAUGGCGCUGAUUUUGGGGUCAGAAUACCAGAAGAAAGGGUAU